UCCUCCUCAAACUGUCUCCGCAACAGCCGCUCUGGCAACAGCCUAGCAACAACUGGCCAGAGGUUGUUGCCCACCUUGGUCCUUCCAGACCCUUUGUAGUCAUGGGGUCACGGAGCUGGAAGUGCCCAUAGAUCAAUCUAGAUAUGAGGGGGGUGACAUUUGAUCUGCGAUCUGAAGAACGAAAGGUUUAAGUCAGCGUGUGUGGAGGAUGGUGCAAGAAAUGGAAAGCGGUGAAGAUGAGAUUGGAGAAGGAGAAAAAGGCCAGGUGGGAACCUUGAAGCUCAAGGCUCAGACCAGAUGGCCCCUGAGAUAAAAGACACCUUGACUAUUACAUCCUUAAUGUGGAAUGUUAAAUAUAACCUUCCCAAUAAAGAAACACUGUGUAUAACCAAUCAAAUUGCCACAACUAUGCAUUAAUCUUAUAUGGAAAAUGUUUAAAUCCUGUUAAGUUUGCCCACAUGCUGCCUAUAUAAACAACCCUCAAACCUCUCCACUUUGGAGCAGUGACCCAUCUUUUUGGAGUUUGUGUCCUCCCAGGUGACAAUCCUCAAAC